rnacentral:rRNA from 1 species
AUUGAACGCUGGCGGCAGGCCUAACACAUGCAAGUCGAACGGUAACAGAAAGCAGCUUGCUGCUUUGCUGACGAGUGGCGGACGGGUGAGUAAUGUCUGGGAAACUGCCUGAUGGAGGGGGAUAACUACUGGAAACGGUAGCUAAUACCGCAUAACGUCGCAAGACCAAAGAGGGGGACCUUCGGGCCUCUUGCCAUCGGAUGUGCCCAGAUGGGAUUAGCUAGUAGGUGGGGUAACGGCUCACCUAGGCGACGAUCCCUAGCUGGUCUGAGAGGAUGACCAGCCACACUGGAACUGAGACACGGUCCAGACUCCUACGGGAGGCAGCAGUGGGGAAUAUUGCACAAUGGGCGCAAGCCUGAUGCAGCCAUGCCGCGUGUAUGAAGAAGGCCUUCGGGUUGUAAAGUACUUUCAGCGGGGAGGAAGGGAGUAAAGUUAAUACCUUUGCCCAUUGACGUUACCCGCAGAAGAAGCACCGGCUAACUCCGUG